AUUGAACGCUGGCGGUAUGCCUUACACAUGCAAGUCGAACGGUAGAGGGGCAACCCUUGAGAGUGGCGAACGGGUGAGUAAUACAUCGGAACGUGCCCAGUCGUGGGGGAUAACGUAGCGAAAGCUACGCUAAUACCGCAUACGACCUGAGGGUGAAAGCGGGGGAUCUUCGGACCUCGCGCGAUUGGAGCGGCCGAUGGCAGAUUAGGUAGUUGGUGGGGUAAAGGCCUACUAAGCCUGCGAUCUGUAGCUGGUCUGAGAGGACGACCAGCCACACUGGGACUGAGACACGGCCCAGACUCCUACGGGAGGCAGCAGUGGGGAAUUUUGGACAAUGGGCGCAAGCCUGAUCCAGCCAUACCGCGUGCGGGAAGAAGGCCUUCGGGUUGUAAACCGCUUUUGUCAGGGAAGAAAUCUUCUGGGCUAAUACCUCGGGAGGAUGACGGUACCUGAAGAAUAAGCACCGGCUAACUACGUGCCAGCCGCCGCGGUAAUAC
rnacentral:rRNA from 1 species